GGCCUCUUCAUCUUAUCAGGAGCUUGUACAUUAUGGACGUAAGAAACAAUACCAGUCUUAGUAAAUGUGGAAAAUCAGCUCUCCGAUUGUGAAUAAACAAGUAUUUGCGGGCUAACGAGUAUGCUGAUUGGGUAUUAUGUCCUUACCUCAAUAAAAUACCUUGAAACUUUAACACGUGUGGAUGAGUUCUCGGAUGCGUAUGGUAGUUGUAGCAACAAAUGUUCAGGAUAUUCUAUCUUAUCCACCACGUUAUGUAUUUCAAGUUUAGCACUAUGUUCACAUUAAGAGGCAAACACUAGAAUCAUGGUGCAUGUAUC
rnacentral:lncRNA from 1 species